rnacentral:lncRNA from 1 species
UGUUUGUGUUUGUGUUUGUGUUUGUGUUUGUAAUGGGCUGAUCUAAAACUUCUAAGCUCAAGGGACCCAUGGCCCCAGGCUUUUUUCCAGUCACUUGGAUUAUAGGUGCGAUUCAAGACAAGAGUUAAAUUGUUUUAAAUCAUGAAUUAAUUGAAAGCAAGAGUAAAUAAAAUCUUAAUUUUAGAAAGAAAAUGACUUCCUAAAUAGAAAACAUAAAAUAAAUAAAUAUUGAGUUGACUAUGUGAAGGUUUUUUUUCUGAAAAUGUUCAAAGAAUAAACAAAUAAGGAGGAAAGGGACUGAAUUCAUCCACAACAUAUAUUCAAAAAGAUUAGAAUGUUGAUGUAUAAGAAAUUUAAAAUCAACAAAAAUGGACCAUGUAAUUAAAGGUCAAAUUUAAUGAAAAUUAAAAUGAUCAUAUGAUCUUUAAAAACUGGCGAGACUGAAGAGAAGGUAAGCCAGGCAUAAUGAUGCAAACCCUUAAUCCUAGCACUGGGGAACAGACAUGGGAGCUCUGCUAGUGCGAGGCCAGCCUGAGUUUCAGGACAACCAGGACUACAGAGAUCCUGACUCAAAAACAAAAGAUAGACAGACGGAUGGACGAUAGAUAGAUGGAUGAUAAAAUAUAGGAAUGAUUGAAUAAAUAAAUACUGAACAGAAGGUAAUACAAAUAAAAUAUUCCAUGCAAUUAUUUCACAGCCUUUGUCAGUAAUUAAGCGUGUUUCUGUUGGUAAAUUUGGUUUAAUAAAGGACACAGUUGCUGAGGAGAUUGCAUGCUGGAAAACAACUUAUAAAAGAUAAUUAGGUGAUAUGUAUCAACAUCUUAACAAUAUUUAUAUCUUUUGACACUUUAGUCCUACCUCAGGAAUUAUGCUAAGAAAAUAAAAAGCAUCAAAUGCAAAAGGGUUUGCAUAAAAGGAUAACUGUCGGUUAAGAGCAGGGGCUAAGAGCAGUGACUGCUCUUCCAGAGGUCCUGAGUUCAAAUCCCAGCAACCACAUGGUGGCUCUUCUGGAGUGUCUGAAGACAGCUACAGUGUACUUACAUAUAAUAAAUAAAUCAAUAUUUAAAAAAAGAUAACUGUCAUCCUGUCAUCUUCUAACUUUGGAAAUGCUAACAAUGAGUUCUACAUUGAAAAUACAAAACAGAGAUAGGAUUUUAACUCCAUAACUAUCUCUCCCUCUCAUGGGAGACUCAAUGCCCAAAUGGAGCAAGAGAAGGACAGCCCAAAGGAUAGUUUGUUGACCAAGCAUAAAGACCUAAGCUCAGAUUCCAGUAGUAUGUCUUGUAGCCCAAAUGCUGGCCAGCAAAGACAGGACAUUCCCUGGAGCUCUUUGGCCAACCAGAGAGUCCAGCCAAUCUGUGCACUUCCGAUCAGGGAGAUCCCAGUUCAAAAGUUAGAUUUGCUAUAGGUGACGAUACACACCUCUAAUCUUAGCCCUAGAGAGGCAGAGGCAAGUGCUUCUCUGUGAAUUUCAGGCCAGCCUGGUCUACGUAGUGAGCUCCAAGACAGGACAACCAACAUUACAUAGAGAGACCCUAUCUUAAUAAUAAUAAUAAUAAUAAUAAUAAUAAUAAUAAUAAUAAUAAUAAUAAAUUACAGUUGAGGGCAACAGAGGAAAACACUGUCAACACAAUUCUAGAAAAAAUGCUUCAGAAAAUUAAUCAAUUUCUCUCUCUCUCUCUCUCUCUCUCUUCUCUGAAUAUGAAGACGACACCUUGUUCACAUUAGAAAUGUACUCUCUGGUGUUUCUUUCAGGGACCCUGUGUUCCAAUCGUUCUAUAGCAUUAAUAAGCUGAAAUAAUAAACAUUAUAAAAAUAGAAGUGCACAUAUUUUCAAAGGAUCUGACAGCCAUGGAACAGAAUCUCACUGGUGAGGCGUGCAUAUGGAUUUGUAUUUGUGAAGUGGGAGGUGCAGCUUUGUAGGGGUUUGUGUGUGUGUGUGUGUGUGUGUGUGUGUGCGCGCGCGUGCGUGCGUGCGUGCGUGCGUGCGUGUGCACACAUGUGCUUGUAUGCUCUGCUCAUAGGUCUCCUUUGAGAAGGAAUGUUUCCCCCCAGGAUCUACCUCCUUUGCCUGCAUUUCAGACUCCUCCUGACUGACUUCUUUGCAAUCCUGAAGGGCUAGAUUCCCUCAGGUUUUUCUGAGGUUGGAAGUCUGAAGUUAACUCGAGUUUUUAACUUACUUAACUAUGGUUAAUGUCUCUUCAUUGUCUAGAUGUGGGCUUCAAACGCCAGUCCCUUGAGUCCCUCAGAUAAACGACGUUAGGAAGAUCAAAUCAAUGUCCUCAUCAAAUUAAACAAAUGCACUUCAGAUUUCACUGUGGUGGACUCUGAACCAAGGCGGCUUUUCAUUUUUAGAGAAUAUUCCUUUUCCUGAUUUCUCUCUGAGUGUUUGCACUGUGAGGACAUUGUCAUAGAUAAGAAAUCAAAUUAAUUUUCUAAGGCCUAAUGUGGCCCCAAUUCUAACCAUAUCUAAAAUGCAGCCACUUCCUUUUUAUUAACCUACUUUUUUUUUUUUUUGAAUGAAACUCCAGAGAGCAGCUACUGAGGUUAAUUACAUAUAGUGGAGAACUAGCCAUGUGACCUUACGCAAGUAACUUCAGAUUUCAUAGCCUCCUUUCUUCUCCUCUGGUGUGGAGCCAGGACUGGGCUGCUACUUGGAGACCUGUCAGGUCUGAAAUCUCAGACCUUGUUUGAAAUUCCUGCAUUUGACCUUUCUGAGAGUGAAGAACUCAAGAUUUCCAGGAACUCACAGGCUGCCUUUUGGACCCCGGUGGGAUGAAGAUGAGUGGCCAAAGGAGGAGGCUAUGGGAGCCUGGCCAAGUCCAAAUCAUGAGGGUCUCACCAGUUGAGGGAAGGGACUGGAUCAAAUGGCUUAGCGGGAGAAAGUAAGUUCUUUAGCUCUAUACUGACGAGGACAUUCCUUUGUUACCAAGACAUUUGUCUUAACAUGGUUUUGUUGGUGGCGUUUGAAACCAUGAUUCAAGGGGCAGGGACAUACCACCAGUGCUUGUCUAGCAUUUUUAAGGCCCCGGGUUCAACCCCAACAACAACAGUAUAUGAACAAAUGAAAGAUUCAAAGUAUACAAGGACAAAAGGACAGACUGUAGUGAAGCAAGCACAAAGAACCAGUUUUCUCUCGUUGCCAGCUGCCAUGUAUCGUUUCAGAAAUGUUCUAGAAAUAGGAACAAUUACAUGUGUUUUCCUUUGCUUUGUCACAACUGGCAACGUAGUAUACGUUGUGCUUCUGUGCUUUUUUUGCUUUUAAUUAAUGUCACAAUGUAUCUCAAUGCUCACCAAUCACCCUUUGAUAAACAGUCUUUACUGUUACAAUUAAAUUGUUACUCCC